AUAUCUGUAAAACAAUUAUUUAACCAGGGUUACAUGUUCUUAUCAGUUUAAUAUCUGAUACGUCCCCUAUUCGGGGACCAUAUAUUAAAUGGAUUUUUGGGCCUGGGAGAUGGAAGAGGGGCUUGCUCCAUCCACUCUACGUAUCGACUUGGUAUUACAGUAUUUCCAGGCACGGUGCGCUUCCC